AUGGAGGGGGCUAGCGUUGUUCGGAAUUACUGGGCGUAAAGCGCACGUAGGCGGCUUUGUAAGUUAGAGGUGAAAGCCCAGGGCUUAACCCUGGAAUUGCCUUUAAGACUGCAUCGCUAGAAUUGUGGAGAGGUGAGUGGAAUUCCGAGUGUAGAGGUGAAAUUCGUAGAUAUUCGGAAGAACACCAGUGGCGAAGGCGGCUCACUGGACACAUAUUGACGCUGAUGUGCGAAAGCGUGGGGAGCAAACAGGA
rnacentral:rRNA from 1 species